rnacentral:rRNA from 1 species
UACGAGUGCGUCGAGCGUUAUCCGGAAUCAUUGGGCGUAAAGGGUGUGUAGGUGGCGUUGUUAGUCUCCUGUUAAAUUCCUCGGCUCAACCGGGGGCUCGCGGGAGAAACGGCAAUGCUAGAGGUUGGUAGGGGUUUCUGGAACUCUAAGUGUAGCGGUGAAAUGCGUAGAUAUCGAGAGGAACACCUGUGGCGAAAGCGAAUCUCUGGACAGUUCCUGACGCUGAGGCUCGAAGGCUAGGGUAGCGAAAGGG